GAUGGGCUGGCAAAUAAUAUGUGUUUGGUUUAGGACCAGGUUAUGGGUGUAUAGUUCCCGCCUGUUA
rnacentral:tRNA from 1 species